GUGAAUCAUCGAAUUUUUGAACGCAAAUUGCACUUUCUGGUAUUCCGGAAAGUAUGCCUGUUUGAGGGUCAGUUAAAUAAAAAUCGGUGUUGUUGCUGCUUUUCGUGGUGACGCGUCGGAAUUGAGUUGUCUUACCUUCGGUUAAGUGACUUAAAAUUUUCAUUGUUUUUCGAAGGAUUUUAAUUUCCUUCGUUAGGCUGGGGUU
rnacentral:misc_RNA from 1 species